rnacentral:rRNA from 1 species
AGAAUCAACGCUGGCGGCGUGCCUCAGACAUGCAAGUCGAACGAUUAAAGCUCUCUUCGGAGAGUGUAUAGAGUGGCGCACGGGUGAGUAACACGUAAGUAAUCUACCUUUGAGUGGGGAAUAACAAUCGGAAACGAUUGCUAAUACCGCAUAAUGCAGCGGCACCGCAAGGUGACAGUUGUUAAAGGAGCAAUCCGCUUAAAGAGGAGCUUGCGGCAGAUUAGCUAGUUGGUAAGGUAAUGGCUUACCAAGGCUACGAUCUGUAUCCGGUCUAAGAGGACGGUCGGACACACUGACACUGAAUAACGGGUCAGACU